rnacentral:misc_RNA from 1 species
GAUGAAGAACGCAGCGAAAUGCGAUAAGUAAUGUGAAUUGCAGAAUUCAGUGAAUCAUCGAAUCUUUGAACGCACAUUGCGCCCGCCAGUAUUCUGGCGGACAUGCCUGUUCGAGCGUCAUUUCAACCAUCAAGCCCCCGGCUUGUGUUGGGGACCUGCGGCUGCCGCAGGCCCUGAAAAGCAGUGGCGGGCUCGCUGUCACACCGAGCGUAGUAGCAUACAUCUCGCUCUGGGCGUGCUGCGGGUUCCGGCCGUUAAACCACCUUCAUAACCCAAGGUUGACCUCGGAUCAGGUAGGAAGACCCGCUGAACUUAAGCAUAUCAAUAAGCGGAGGA